GACAAUCUCACCCUCACGCGGGCCGAGGUUCUGGCUUACAUGCAGCGUUACGCCAUCGGUUUCCUGCAGAAUGGCAUGCUUCCCGGCGACCAUGUCUGCACUCACAUGAGCUGCGAUACGAAGUGGAAGACGGUGACUGCACACACGUCAUCACCGACGAGCCGAAUGCAGAGAAGGUUAGGAAAGCAGUUGCGGGCUUAAAGCUGAAGAGGUGGACCAAUGCGACAGUUCCAACUCCAACAAAAUAUGGGAAAAGUGGGAAGACCACGAACUGUGCGCAUGGCCGAACAACAAGCCGAGUUCGAGGAGAGGAGUUGGCAGCAGAGACGCUACUAUAACCAACGACGACUUGCCUCUGCGAAAGUAGAGAAUGCGGCCAGUGAUGUUGCCUCCGAAGAACAUCAGCAACAGCAGAUGCGAGAGUCUAAUCGUCAAUAAACCCACGCAUGAUACCUGAAGGCAUCAA